CGUGAGGUAAAGCACUGGGGGACGGCAGUACGCCGUGAGGUAAAGCACUGGGGGACGGCAGUACGCCGUGAGGUAAAGCACUGGGGGACGGCAGUACGCCGUGAGGUAAAGCACUGGGGGACGGCAGUACGCCGUGAGGUAAAGCACUGGGGGACGGCAGUACGCCGUGAGGUAAAGCACUGGGGAACGGCAGUACGCCGUGAGGUAAAGCAGGACGCCGUGA